UACUCACAAAUUAGUCGAUACUAUAGCUAAUUUCUUAAACUGAACCCUUUCAAGUAAAGAUUUUUAUAUAAACCUGUGAGGAUGAUACUACCAUUGGCGUAAUUAAAAUGCCAUAAACCUACGUUGUCGAAUUAGUUUGCGAAAAACCAAACUAAAUUUGAAUUUCGCGGGCAGGCCAGUCUCAUGCCCAUAAAGCGACGCCUUCUCGUGGACUUUUCGUUGACAAAAUGUUGCAUAAGCGGAAAUCCGCAAGUGUCGAAAAGUCGCUCGGACUGCAGUAACUAAAUACAUGCCUACUCAAGGCUCAAUAGAAAAUUAAAAAAAUAGGUAAACAAAGAACAACUUGGAUAAAUAAAAUAAAAAUAUUUCGAUAGGGAAAUUUGCUCGAGACGCGACCCAUUAUCUUGUCGCAAAAGGCUAGGAAAGGGACAAGUUGGCACACCUAGGAAGUUGUGGUGUUUUAGAAUAAAAAUAUUCUCAUAUCAUGCUACUUGUCGAAGGCAAUCGCUCUGGCCAUUGAACUCUAAUAUUGAUUAAUGUCAAUUUAAUAUUUGCCCCAGAUUUUGGUACUAAAACUUAUGUAGGUACAGACAUGCUGGUGAUUGUUUUAUUAUACUAGGUAGAUGAAGACAGAUCGUAUUCAAAUAUUUUAUAUCCUUUUAUAAUUUUCUUACAGUUUAUAAGUAAGUAUAGGUAAAGUCUCGUCCCUUACCUACCCUAUCGAGACGUCUCGAUGAGAUAAUAGGUACAUAAAACAGUACAGAUUUAUCUAAACGGGUUAGGAAGGGUACGAGUACUAACUCUAACACAUUGAACAUAUCUAUGUAAUUUAGUAAUAUGUAUAAAUCAACAACAAUAAUUUUAGUUUCUAUUUCUACCACAGACAUGUUAAUCGAAUAACUUCAUAAAUACUACUCACAGCUAACUCAACAUAUAGGUAACAUUUAUUUGGUAGAUAAAUAUUAUUAGACAAAAUACAGAUAGGUAAUAAAAUCAACAGCACUAAAUCACUUUGGUGCCUAGUUUGAACUACAUUAGGAUAAUACAGAACGACUGUUUGUCUUCAAUCGAUCUUCAAAACAGGCCACCGGAUUUUUUAUUUUUAUGUGAGAAAGUAUAUUUCUCAUCGAGAGAUUUGAUUAAGCUAUCAUUAUUUUGUGUUACGCAAGACUCAGUGUGGCCCUAGUCAAUACAUAGGUAACAGUAAUUGGCCUCGUUCGAGAAGCCUCACAUGGCAUAGGUACCACGAGGCGAUGCCAUAUCAAUAUAGCUAUUAAAUUAGGAUUUAUCAACACUUCUAUUAUGUUAUCUUUUUUUGUUUAUGCGUCUAAUACGAUGUAUUUAGCGCACCACAUAUGUAGUGUAGGUACCUACGCAAGUGAGAAAUUCCGACCGGAGUAUUCGGAAAAAUACUUAUAAUUUAUUUUAUAGAUAAGUAGAAAGUACCUACAGAAGAUUGUUUGACAGUCUUAUGUUAAAUUAAUUAUAAUUAAACUAAAAAAAAAAAUAUGUCGUAACUAAUAAAAAAUAUCGAUAGAAUGUGAAUUUGAGAUGGUUCAGUGAUAAGGAAACUAACUUGUGAAAGAUAUUAUAUUUUGUAGAAAAAUAACAGUUUUAAGGAUAACAAAUCCCUUUUCCAUCAAAUUCUCACCAACUAGGAACUAGGUAUUUUUAAUAAUAAAAUAUUUGAGAUUGUUAGGGCCGGCGCACAUAUGGCGGAGCGCAGCGCAGAGCAUGCCCGUGAAGUUUUCUAAUCACGUGACACAUUACGUGAAUUUCUCUACCAGAGAAUCCGCGAGCACGCGCGAGCCUGCGCGUGGAUGUGCGAGUAUCCGCACGGAUGCACAAUUGAUUUUAGAUAUUAUUUCAAUGAGGACAAUGUCUAUAAUAUUUUGACUGAAAAAUGCUCUGCGCUGCGCUCCGCCAUAUGUGCCCCGGCCCUUAGAGGCAUUUCAUCGACAGUCAUGACUCGUGACACUCAUGAGCUAAAUGUAAGUAGGUAGUAGGUAUAUCGAAAAUAUAAAAAAAUAACAGUAGGCAUCUAUAAACAAACGUCAUAGGUAUGUUUGUUUAACGGCUAGGUACCUAAUCUUACUAUUAUUUAAUUAUAAUAAUACAGACGGUAUAUGGUUUACAGUGGGUUUGCAGUUGUAAAAUACAUUCUACAUUGUGAACAGUAAUCCAGGAUUUUCCCCAAACUAUUUUUAGAUAUAAAUUCUACGCCAAAGUCACGUCAUGUAAACAGAGAUGCUGGUAUAACAUACAUUAAUGUAAACUAUUUACAUCAUAAAUUAUUGUAGUAAAUACUAAAUUCAUAAAUAAACAUAACCAGCGCUUACUUACUAUAAAAAAUAAGUGUAACUACUAAGUACGUAUAGUAUUAAAGAUAUUAUUAUAAAUCAAAACGAAUUAAACGUGAAUUAAACGUACCUACUUUUUAUAGGUACCGACCUUUAGAUAGCUUUAUUAUCAUUAUUGGGUACGGGAAUGUUCUUACUCGUAUUAGACCAAUAACACCUCAAAAAAUAGACAAGAAAAGCGUACAACAAAACAAAUUUUAAAAUAUACGUAGGUACAUAGAGAGCAGAUAAAUAUAGAUAAUGGUUUUUUUUAAUGGCAAUCAAUCACGAAAACCCUUCUUAAUUGAGCUGCUAAGAUUUUAACAGCUCAACUAUUGACUGAAGGAUAAUAGUUCAGUCACACUCACCAACAGAGCUCGAUGCUUAUGUACGCUCGAAAAGAAAUAUUAAUUAGCUAUUUAAAUUCACAAUGCAGAAUUGAGAAACCGAUAAAUUAAAUCAUCAGUUGAACCAGAAGCUAUAAGUAUGUAUACUAACAUAUGACCUCCAAAAAUAUUAAUACAUAUGAUAUUUGGUGACUCACAUUUAGGAGCCAAACCCUAUCUUAAACAUCUAUGUGCUUAAUAGUAGUCCUUAAAAGUAAUCUGACUGCGGCCUUUAAAUAAAUAUAAAUAUUUAUUUGUACUUUUUUAUAUGGCAUCCAAAAACUAAAUUUUUUAGGGAUUAUAUUAAAGGAUUGGAAUAUAAAGUUAGUAAAAGAAAGAUAAAUAGGAAUCCAGCUAUUCAGUUGGUUAGUGUUUGUCCCCACCACAUAAAUUACGUUUUACGAAUCUCCCUAAUGUCUUAUAUUAGAAUGCUCUAUUGGCCCUAAUUUGUAAUUCAUUAGAAGAA